rnacentral:pre_miRNA from 1 species
UCUAAAACUCUAUAUAUAAUCUAAACACCAAACAGUGUAUGGGCUAUGAGAUAGGUUCAAAUUUUCAUUUUGUUGCUAAGAUUUGAACUUUAAAACAACAGUAUUUAGUCUUGGAAUCUUCAUGAAUGUUUUAUUUCCACGUAUUAGCUCUCCAUU